GCCCUUGUAGUUCAACGGAUAGAAUAGGCCCGUCCUAAGGGUUAGAUGGUGGUUCGAUUCCUCCCAGGGGUA
rnacentral:tRNA from 1 species